CGGCCGUUGGUCUUAUUUCUCCGCGUCAGACAUUUCAAGUUGCAGGUUUAGGAAGGCUUUUAUUUAUUAAAAAUAAGGAUUUGUGCUGUGUACAUCUGUACAGGCUAUAAAAAUACCACCCCUGAAAUGCGGAUUUGAAAAGCCUAAAGACAUUACUAUGUUAAAAGUAUGAAGAAAUAGAUGAUACCAUUUUAUAACGAAUGCAUACUUCAGUCAAUCAAAUCGUCUGUAAGGUAGUAUGGCAUUUUGUGGUAUGGAGUUUCUGUAGACCGGCUCUGUUAUGUAAAUUCGGUGUCUUCAACGUCUUUUCGUUGACACUUUUCACAAUAGAUGUGCUAAACGCCACAAAAACGAUCUAAAUGUAACAAACCACUUAGCCAUUUAGCUGGGAAAGGUGUGUGACAGCACAGCAGGAAUAUACAGAAUUCUGAUUCUUUUUUUAUUUGAUUGGCUGGUUCAGGUUUGAAAUUGAUUGUAAUCUUCAUUGUCCAUUCAUAGAUUUUCCUGUGAUCCCAUUUUCCGGACCUUUUUUAUAAGUAUGCUCAGUUUAUUAAUGAUUAGUAAUUGAGGAUGUUAACAAUUGUUCGGGUUAUGUAGAGUUGCAUGAAAAAGUUAUUAGCGUUAACGAGAAAUUGUCUAUGUUUAAUUUUUUUUUUCCUGGGGUCGAGGUCUGCUUUCUCUCCAGAAAUCUGACUCCUCAACACCACAAGCAGGAAUCUUUCCAAGGCCCUCAAAUCUCCCGUGAAAGGCCUUGAUUCACGUGUCAUUGUUUUCUCGCAGUCAGGACGGUGGGACAGGUUCCACUGCCAUUGUCCCUGUGCACGAGUGAUAGGACUUUGCUCGCAGCAGACAACUGGGUCUUUAUGACAGGAAGAGAACUACAGUCUUUACAGCCAGUCUAAAACAACAAUAAUAAUAAUAAAACAAAACACUUCCCCUAACAUAUAGCGGUGAUCACGGACCACACGGCCUCCUUCCUGAUAGCGGCUCUUUGAUUGUAUGUUAACGACGGCCCCCGGGGGCUUCAGCUCAGUCCUAUUGGGGGAUGAACCUAAGCAGCUCUCACAUCACAUCUGCCUUAAUUAAUCCAACAUUAGACACUCAAGACCCCCGACUUUUUGGAAAAAGCGUGCUGCUCGAAUCUAAUUAUUUUCCCUGUUCCUCUGAGCAGAUGACAGUCCUGUGCAGCCUUGUGGCUGGCUUUUUCAAUGCUGCUCUCGCUCUCGCUCUCUCUCUCUCUCUCUCUCCCUCUCACACACACACGCUCCCUCUAUCUCUCUCUCCUUCAGUAUCUCCCAGUCUCACUGUCUGUAUCUCUCUCAGUCUCAUGCGCUCUCUCGCUCUCUCUCCCUCACCGUGUCCCUAAGUUUGCCGGAGCAACACCUGGUACAGGGAAAGCCCCCCCGCUCCUUGUCGGUAUGGGCGAGCUCUCCCCGCGCGUCAGCGUCUACCUGCCGAGCUGAGCCAGCUACGCCGGGAGGGAUGUGCAUGUGGCUCCCAGCCCGCCGGGGUCCAGCCUGACCGUACGCCAGCUCCGCUCUCGCUCUCUCCGUCGUCUUCACUGCGCUUCAGUAGCACGGUAACCCACAUAAAUCAGCUGUGGACUGAGGCGAGGCGACCUUACAAUCUGAGGCGUAUCGCGGUCAGUCAUCAGCAGACGACGGCGGUGGCGGCGGCUGGAUCUCGCCCAGGCAGGAGGUCUCUUUCGGAGCGGGACAGAAAGGGACCGACUCGCUUACUCUUGGACAUGGGUUGGCAGAAAAUCGGCGGGCCGGCGCCGUGCCGGGGAUGGCGGUAAUGGGAUUUCCGAGGGGUCGCCUGUGGAGUGCCCGAAUGCAAGAACGCCUCUGGCACGGCCUCGUCGCGUGACGCAGGCCGUCUUCAAUCAAUCGUGUGAAAGCCUGCCGCGGUUUAUAACUCCCUGCCCAUGUCUCUGUCCUCUCGUGGAUUCUCUUCGGUGACGGGUAUUCUUGGGUGGAUAAUACGGAUCACGUUGUUAUUGCUUAAGAAUACGCGUAGUCGAGGAGAGUCAUUUCGACGACUCCGAGGAGCUUCAGGUCAGGCCGUCUCCAGGGCACCGCCCCCUCCCCCCUCACCGCCGUGACCCGUCGUGGGGGUGGAGCAAUGAGACUCACCUCGUGCCCUCACCCAUCGGGCUAACGGACGUCUAGCGGCUCUUUGCUGCCACCUAUUGUUCAUGGGUGCCGCCUGUGGCCUUUUGCCCUUUGUAAGUUUCAUGUCAGUCUUUCCUCCCAACAGAUGAUUCUGUUUUCAUAGCUUCGUUAUGCAGUUUCUUACAGUGAUUUUACAUGCUGUUUUUUUUUGUUACCGUACCGAUCUAAGCAGAUGCUAUUUAACAAGCCUUACUUUACUUCGGAUUACGACGGAUCAGAGUGUUUAUCCUCGUUUUUAGACGAUGCUGGCGGGGUGUGGGGUUUCGUGGAUGGGUGAGUGUAGGGGGGGGAUGGUCACUGAUCGCAUUGUACGUUGGCUAAUGACAUGGAUGCCCGGGUCUUUGUUAUUGGCCCGGAGAUCAGACGUUGCACUCCAACUUUUUCGAUGCAAAUUGAUUUUUAAAUUACAUUUAUUGCGCCGAAUUUCUGCUGUGAGGGAUCUGGCGCCAAGAGGCGAGCGAGGGGGGAAUGUCCACCGGCUCAGGCUGGAUUUAUGCGACGAGGGAAUCGUGUAUUUAAAUGAUCAUAGAACACCCCCCCACCUUGAUUGCAUGUGCUUAAUUUACCGUUUAUGAAAUAAAAUCAGGAAUAUACCAUAAUGCUUCAUUCAAUAGCUCUGACCUAAUCUACUGACUCUGGCCAGGGUCCAGCUCUGCUCCUCAUUAACCGACACCCUCAAUUGACGUUAAAAAUUCCGAUCAGUCAAGCUGUUAUUUCUCAUUUAAAACUAGGCCUUCAGUUUAAAUAUUGAUAGAUCCCCAUUAAUGUUAAAGCAUUUCAUUGUGAGAUGCUGUUCAGAAAAAUGAGUACAGCACAUGCAGCAUUGAUCUGUGUUUUAAAAUUAAAUUUAAUGUAGUAUUAUUUUAAUAUGCUGUAGUAUAUUUCUGUCCGGCAUGUCUCUUAAUCUGGGGAGUCACCCUGAAAUGAGAUCUGAGGCUACUGUAGAAGCUGGUCAGUACCUAGACAUUUGGCCAGACCAUGCGGCAGCAGCCAUUCCAAUUUCCGAGCCAAAACAGACAUAAACAAACAUCAGCUUUUUCUCUAAUUCAUUAUUUUUGUUCUCCCCGCAGAAUGCAUUUUAAUUAUUGUAAUUGAGUUUCACCACUAGGGGACCCCUGUAGCUGAUCGUCGAGCCCUGACAGAGCAAAACACAGAAUGCCAGGGAGGUUUUAAGGCUGCAUUCAAACGAUCGGAGGGUCUCACAACAUUGCUGGGGCGGAGCAACAUGGAUUGAAUAACAUCGGCGGCCUGUAAUGGUUUCUUUGUAAGGUGUCCCAUCCGGUGCUUCUAAAUGGACUCAUGAACAUCAUAUGAAUUACAGGGAUAAAUUAUUAUGUCUUUUUCAAUGUAUUACAUCCAUUUAUAUUUGGGUCAUACACAUACAAAGGAAGAUUGCAUCUAGCUAUUUAAGUGGCAUACAGAAUAUUACAUCAUUAUAAUAUUAUUAUCUGUAGUGUUUAUCUACUAUAGAAUAUAUGGUUGUGUGAUUAGCCAAGGAGAAAGUGAAACUUCGAUCCAGUUCAUUUAUUUCUUUAUUGCGGUCUUUAAAAUGUGCUCUUGAAUGUAAAAAAGCAAGAACGUUUGUUUUAAGAUUUUUAAUAUAUGUUUU